GUGUGUGUGCAUGGAUGUGCACUACCAAUACACAGACACACACACACACACACACACACACACACACACACACACACA
rnacentral:miRNA from 1 species